rnacentral:rRNA from 1 species
GACGAACCGUGCGAACGUUGUUCGGAAUAACUGGGCUUAAAGGGAGCGUAGGCGGGCUAACAAGUCUGGGGUGAAAUCCCACGGCUCAACCGUGGAACUGCCUUAGAUACUGUCGGCCUCGAGGGAGAUAGGGGCAUGCGGAACUAACGGUGGAGCGGUGAAAUGCGUUGAUAUCGUUAGGAACUCCGGUGGCGAAAGCGGCGUGCUGGAUCUCUUCUGACGCUGAGGCUCGAAAGCUAGGGGAGCAAACGGG